rnacentral:rRNA from 1 species
UACGAAGGGGGCUAGCGUUGCUCGGAAUCACUGGGCGUAAAGGGCGCGUAGGCGGCCAUUCAAGUCAGAGGUGAAAGCCCAAGGCUCAACCUUGGAAUUGCCUUUGAUACUGUUUGGCUUGAGACCGGAAGAGGUUAGUGGAACUGCGAGUGUAGAGGUGAAAUUCGUAGAUAUUCGCAAGAACACCAGUGGCGAAGGCGGCUAACUGGUCCGGUUCUGACGCUGAGGCGCGAAAGUGUGGGGAGCAAACAGG